rnacentral:rRNA from 1 species
GUGGAUGCCUUGGCGAUAAGAGGCGAUGAAGGACGUGGUACGCUGCGUUAAGCCAUGGGGAGCUGCGAACAAGCUUUGAUCCAUGGAUAUCCGAAUGGGGAAACCCGGCCCGCAAGGGUCAUCAUUAUCUGAAUACAUAGGGUAAUGAGGCGAACCUGGGGAACUGAAACAUCUAAGUACCCAGAGGAAAGGACAUCAAUUGAGACUUCCUUAGUAGUGGCGAGCGAACGGGAACCAGGCCAGUGGCUUUAGUGAGAAAACCGGAACUGCUUGGAAAGGCAGGCCAUAGUGGGUGAUAGCCCCGU